GUGUUUCGCUCUUGAACAUAAGGAUAGUUCUUGUUGUGAUAACUUUGUUGGAAUCCUCAGGUAAACUUGCUAGCUUCGAGCACUUUGGUCUUUAGUCCUUGACCUGCUCGAUCCAAUGCUAUCCUCUCCAGGUGUUGGAUGGGAGCAAGCAUCAUUGCAUCAAUCUCCACUGAUGAAGGAUUAUUUUGCUUUUCUUUUAAGUGAGGUUAUUGAAAGCCACCCUUGCAGGAGUUCUGAUUCGCGUAAGGUCAGUUUCUUGGUUCUUCAUGGACCGUUGCACCCUAAUACAGGGAUAUACCAUGUAUGUAUGGUUCUGGUUUUGUUUAUAAAGUAAUUCACAGGCCCUUUGCUGUCGCUGAAGUUUUCUGGAGCGG
rnacentral:lncRNA from 1 species